UGAAACAUGCAAAGCAAAUUUCUAGUUUUGGGGGUGUUUGGUUCGGGAGCCACCACCGGUUCGUGUCGGGACCGGAAACCACGAUCAGCCUUGCACAGUUCCCGGCUUCCAGCCGCCGCCGCCGCGGGGAGCACCGGCCGUUGGUUCUUCGUCUCCGCCCCGCUUGCGAGAAGAGCGACGCGUUUCCCCUUCGAACCCUCGUGUAUCGUGGGUCAUGGUGACGCCUCGUGGUAGCGGCGGGAGAUGGUGAAGAUAGUGACGUACAACGUGAAUGGGCUGCGGCCGCGGGUGGCGCAGCACGGCUCGCUCCGCUGCCUCCUCGACGCCCUCGAUGCCGACAUCAUCUGCUUCCAGGAGACCAAAUUGUCAAGGCAGGACCUAUCUGCGGAUGUAAUUAUGGCUGAUGGAUAUGAGGCUUUUGUUUCAUGCAACCGCUCUUCAAAAGGCCGUGGAGCAUACUCUGGUGUUGCAACAUUUUGCCGAGUAACAUCAUCAUUUUCCAGCCAGGAGGUUGCUUUGCCAGUAGCAGCUGAAGAAGGCUUUACUGGACUUCAGGACUAUGCAAAAAAUAGUCAAACUGUUGGGGAUUUCAGUAUUGCAAUGCCUGUUGAGGAGGAGGGUCUUGGUGAACUCACAAGAGAGGACCUCUUAAGGGUGGACAAUGAGGGGCGGUGCAUCAUCACUGAUCAUGGACAUUUUGUUCUUUUCAACAUAUACGGCCCAGCUGUUGACGGAGAUGAUAAAGAGCGUGUUCGUUUUAAGCUACUAUUUUACAAGAUACUGCAGAAAAGAUGGGAACGUCUAUUGGCUCUUGGAAAGAGAGUUUUUGUUGUUGGUGAUUUGAAUAUUGCUCCUGCUUCUAUAGACAGGUGUGACGCGGCACCUGGCUUCGAGAAGCAAAUGUUCCGGGAAUGGCUGAGAUCCAUGCUGAGAGAACAUGGAGGUCCCUUUUUUGAUGCUUUUAGAUCAAAACACCCUGAAAGGACAGGAGCAUAUACUUGUUUUAAUCAAAAAAUUGGUGCAGAAGAGUAUAAUUAUGGUUCUAGAAUAGACCACAUUCUCAUUUCCGGUUCCUGUCUCCAUCGCUGUGAUUCUGUGGAGGACCAUAGCAUUUUUUGUUGCCAUGUAGAAGAAUGUGAGAUAAUGAAUCAUUUCAAAAGAGGGAAUUCUGAAAAUUUAUCAAAGUGGAAAGGGGGAAGAAGCAGUAAGCUAGAAGGAUCUGAUCAUAUUCCAGUUUAUAUUUUACUGAAAGAAAUACCUGAACUUCCGGUCCAUAAUAUCCCACCAUCAGCUGCAAGAUAUCUUCCAGAGAUCCGUGGAAGGCAACAAAGUAUAGUAUCGUUCCUUGAUAAAGGGAAAAUUUAUGAGCUGCAAAAUGCUGCAAAUUUGAUUCAAUCUGAAGAUACAGUACUUGAUAGUUACUGUAGUGAUGGCUUGGAAAAUACAAUUCUAGCUAAGAAAGGACUGGCAACUGGUAUAACUGAGUUUGCAAAAGGUGGUAACCUUCCUAGUUUGAUGUGCAAGGGGACAGAUCUGAAUCAAUGGAUAAAUGAAGGUUUAAUGGGCAUCUCUCAUGUCAGCCAGAAAAAAUCACUGUCUAGUACCAAGUUUGUGCCACAAAAGAAAAUUAAACGCAACUUAUCAUCCCAACCAACAAUCAAGUCAUUUUUUCAAAGACCAGGGUCAAAGACAGUAAAUGCUAGUACCAGUACCUUAGUUACUCCAGCAGAAACAUUAGACCUUACAAAUCAAGCAUGUGUUUCAAAUGGUGAUACACUGCCUGAAAACAUGCAGUGCACAACUUCAGCUGCAAAAGUUCAGGAUAACACAGAUGCAUCGUCAUGUUCACUUUCAACAGACAAGUCUAAUGCUGCAGCAUUGGAGUGGCAGAGGAUACAGAAAAAGAUGAAGAUGACACUACCACGUUGCAAAGGGCAUAGUGAACCAUGCAUUCCGAGGUCUGUGAAGAAGGGCCCUAAUAUAGGCCGUUUGUUCUAUGUCUGUGCUCGUGCUCAGGGACCUGCAUCAAAUCCAGAAGCCAAUUGUGGCCACUUUCAGUGGGCACCUGGAAAGUCUAAAGAGAAGAGCUCUAAAGAGAAACGUCUGUGACUUCAUUUUUCUCCCAGGAAUCCAGGACAUUUUGCUUCCAAUGAGUCUGGUACAUCACCUUGUCCCAGCAUACUGAUGACGUGGCGAUGUAUUUGUGGAGAGGUAAGCUGAUCAAGGGCCUGUUUGGGAGGUCUGGCUCUGACUGGCUCCUUGCUCUAGUAACCGGAGGGGCCACAAAACGUGUCUUCACCAGCUCCCCAUUGUUUUGAAAAGGACAGAAAACAACUUCAUGAACAUUGCAGCCACAGUGCCAUGGAUAAGCUACAGUAGCGCAUCAGCUGGAACAGCCAAGAGCUGUCCCAAACGUGGCCUGAACAAGCACUUCUCUCAGGCAGGAGCAGUUGAACGCGGAGCACAUCUGCACAGGUUGUGUUUUGAACACGUGGAAGUCAAAUGAUUGGAAGCAGGUUGACCUUUGCUGUUUUGUGUGUGUGAAGACUAUCCUUUCCUGUAUGCAUGAUGGAAGACAAAAUUUAUGAUCAAAGCAAACGAAUAGUGACGACUGUUGGGGCGAAGGCAAAGACGCCACCCUUCGCUCGAGGCCUUCGCUGCAGUCGUUGGUCCAACGGAGAUAAAACGGACAGGGACACCCUUCGCCCCACAUGACAUCAGACGAAGGCCUGCGACGAGGUCAUUCCACCAUGCGGCCUUGUCCAACUCGGAGGCCCACGUGUGAUCCGGCCCAUUGUAACGGGCUCUGCGUGGCCGCUGCGUAUUACGGGCCUAAUCUGUAAAGGCAUCCCUGUAAUUACAGUCUGUAACCCUGCUUUAUGAGAAUAUUCUGGGGAUAACCUAAGUGUCUGAGGGCACAUGCGUCCUUAACACGAGACGCUGGGUGCUCAGACACCUAUAAAUACCCCCGCACAGUGCCCGUGAGAGACUAGGUUAACAGAGCUAUUGCCAUCUUGCGCGAGAACC